rnacentral:ncRNA from 1 species
AGUCAGAGGAGCGGCAUGCAUGAGUAUAUGUGCGGAGAUAGCCUUCAUCUGUGAAGCACAUAAAAAGGGCCGGCCGCCGAAGGGAAAUGUAAAAGGCCUUGCAUUUUGCCUGGUCUGUCCGCCGAAGAGGCGGCGGACUGUCAUCGUCAUGAUGGAGAGCUG